rnacentral:rRNA from 1 species
UACGUAGGGUGCAAGCGUUGUCCGGAAUUAUUGGGCGUAAAGAGCUCGUAGGCGGUCUGUCGCGUCUGCUGUGAAAACUCGGGGCUUAACCCCGGGCCUGCAGUGGGUACGGGCAGACUAGAGUGCGGUAGGGGAGACUGGAAUUCCUGGUGUAGCGGUGAAAUGCGCAGAUAUCAGGAGGAACACCGGUGGCGAAGGCGGGUCUCUGGGACGGUACUGACGC